rnacentral:rRNA from 1 species
AUUGAACGCUGGCGGAAUGCUUUACACAUGCAAGUCGAACGGCAGCACGGACUUCGGUCUGGUGGCGAGUGGCGAACGGGUGGGUAAUGUAUCGGAACGUGCCCAGUCGUGGGGGAUAACGUAGUGAAAGUUACGCUAAUACCGCAUACGAUCUGAGGAUGAAAGCGGGGGAUCGCAAGACCUCGCGCGAUUGGAGCGGCCGAUAUCAGAUUAGGGAGUUGGUGGGGUAAAGGCCCACCAAGCCGAAGAACUGUAGCCUGGUUUGAGAGGACGACCAGCCACACUGGGACUGAGACACGGCCCAGACUCCUACGGGAGGCAGCAGUGGGGAAUUUUGGACAAUGGGCGAAAGCCUGAUCCAGCAAUGCCGCGUGCAGGAAGAAGGCCUUCGGGUUGUAAACUGCUUUUGUACGGAACGAAAAGGUCUCUCUUAAUACGGGGGGCUCAUGACGGUACCGUAAGAAUAAGCACCGGCUAACUACGUGCCAGCCGCCGCGGUAA